rnacentral:rRNA from 1 species
AACGAACGCUGGCGGCAUGCCUAACACAUGCAAGUCGAACGAGACCUUCGGGUCUAGUGGCGCACGGGUGCGUAACGCGUGGGAACCUGCCCUUAGGUUCGGAAUAACUCCCCGAAAGGGGUGCUAAUACCGGAUAAUGUCUUCGGACCAAAGAUUUAUCGCCUUUGGAUGGGCCCGCGUUGGAUUAGCUAGUUGGUAGGGUAAAAGCCUACCAAGGCGACGAUCCAUAGCUGGUUUGAGAGGAUGAUCAGCCACACUGGGACUGAGACACGGCCCAGACUCCUACGGGAGGCAGCAGUGGGGAAUAUUGGACAAUGGGCGAAAGCCUGAUGCAGCAAUGCCGCGUGAGUGAUGAAGGCCUUAGGGUUGUAAAGCUCUUUUACCCGGGAUGAUAAUGACAGUACCGGGAGAAUAAGCUCCGGCUAACUCCGUG